AAGAUACUGGUGACAUGGAAAAAAUAGUUGGCACACUAGAGUCUGUUGUAAGACGCAAAAAUUAUCUUCGUCUGAAGGAGAGUGCCAAGGUGGACAUGUCAUGGAGAAUUCCAUCCACAUGUCUUGUUGAACCAUCGGAGAUAUGUGGCAGGAAAGAAGACAAGGAGGCCAUACUGAAACUGUUGUUGGAUGAUGAUGAUGCUGCUGAUGGUGAUUUAUCUGUCAUUCCCAUUGUGGGCAUGGGCGGAAUAGGAAAGACUACCUUGGCCCAAUUGCUUUACCACGAUGACAAAGUGAAGGACAAUUUUGAUUUUCGAGGUUGGGUUUGUGUGUCAGAAGAAUUUGAUGUUGUCAAGGUCACCAAGACUGUAAUCGAGGCAAUAACUUCAAGUUCUUGUAACUUGACAGAUUUGAAUUUACUUCAGCUUGAUUUAAAGGAAAAGUUGUCGAGGCAAAAGUUCUUCAUUGUCUUGGACGACGUAUGGAAUGAAAAUUAUAGUGAUUGGGAUAAGCUUCUAAAACCUUUUCAAAAAGGGGUUAAGGGAAGUAAAAUUCUCAUAACUACUAGAAACAAAAAUGUGGCUUCUUUAGUGCAGACUGUUUCACCUCAUGAACUAAGAUCAUUGUCCGAUGAAGAUUGUUGGUUGGUGUUUACAAAGCAUGCACGUCUGUCAACUGUUUCCGUGGAUAAUCCAACCCUGGAAAAAAUCGGCAGAGAUAUCGUAAAGAAGUGUGAUGGAUUGCCCUUGGCAGCUCUAGCCCUUGGAGGCAUAUUGCGUGGAAAUUCUGAUAUCAGAUAUUGGAAUCUUUUAUUGAAGAGUGAAAUCUGGGAACUCUCCAAUGACAGAAUAAAUGUUCUUCCAGCGUUAAUGAUAAGUUAUUACUUUCUUCCUUCAUAUUUGAAGCAGUGCUUUGUUUAUUGUUCCUUGUAUCCCAAGGACUAUGAAUUUAGCAAGGAUGAAUUGAUGCUGUUAUGGAAGGCAGAGAAUUUUUUGCAACCAGUAGAAAAAAAGACUAUAGAAGAAGUUGGUGGUGAAUAUUUUGAUGAAUUAAUUGCGAGAUCAUUUUUGCAACCUCAUAGUAUCGAGGAAAAUAAAUUUGUGAUGCAUGAUCUUGUUCAUGAUUUAGCAAUGACAUGUGCUGGAGUGUUUUAUUUCAGAGCUGAAGAGCUUCUGAAUGCAGUUGAGGUUGAUAUUAAAGCUCGUCAUUUGUCACAUAACGCCAAAGGCAAUUGUCCAAUGUCAAAUCUUUUGGGAGUUUGUGAUAGAGUAAAACAUACAAGGACAUUUCUUGAAAUCAAUUUGAACAAGCGGAUUCCAUUCAAUAUGGAAAAUGCACCUUGUAUCAUGUUGUCACAGUUGAAGUACCUGAGAGCAUUGUCGUUCAAAUGGUUUCCUCUUGAGUCAGUGUCUGAUUCAAUAGGGGAGUUGAUUCAUCUGCGUUACUUGGAUCUCUCUUGGACUGACAUUGUGGCAUUGCCGGAGUCAAUGGGUAACCUAUACAACUUGCAGACCUUGAAGUUGUUUGGCUGUAGAAAUCUGAAAAUGCUACCUGUUGGCAUGAAAGACCUUGUAAAUUUGCGCCAUCUUGAUAUUAGAGGGACUCAGUUGCAUGAGAUGACAAAAGGCUUGAGCAAAUUAAAAAGUUUGCAAUUUUUAAGUGAUUAUAUUGUUGGAAAGCAUGAAGAAAACAAGAUUAAAGAAUUGGGAGCACUUGUAGAUCUACACCAAUCUAUUUCCAUUGACAAGUUGGAGAAUGUGGUCAACAGCAAUGAAGCUUCGAUGGCAAGAAUGUUUGAUAAGGAUGGCAUUGAUUCUAUGACGUUACGUUGGUCGUGGAAUAAAGACGAGAAUACAGUUGAUUCCGAAAUGGAAAGAGAUAUACUUGACAAGUUACGACCUCACGCUAAUUUGAAAGAGUUAUAUAUUUAUGGUUACAGGGGUACAAGAUUUCCAGAUUGGGUGGGACAUUCUUCCUACCACAACAUCACCACAAUAACACUGGAUGGUUGCUGGAGUUGCUGUAUGCUUCCUUCACUUGGACAGUUGCCCUCUUUGAAGCACCUAUCAAUUUCAGAUUUUGCAAGUCUGGCAACUGUGGGUGCUGAGUUUUACUUUUACCAGAACGAUGAAUCUUGUUUGGAGACUCCAUUUCCAAAGCUCGAAAUUCUUUCGUUUUGGUCAAUGCCUUGCUGGAAGGAGUGGCAUUCAAUGGAGUUGAAUGCAUUUCCUCGACUUAGGGAGCUUACCAUAGGUUUCUGUCCGAUGUUGAGAGGAGAUUUGCCAAAUCAACUUCCAUCUUUGCAAUCACUUCAGAUUCAGAAUUGCGAUGAGCUGAGUUGUUGUGUUCCAAGGGCUCCUGCGAUUACCACUCUUUCAAUUUCGGGAAAGAAUCUAGUGGGGUCUGUGGUGGAGGCCAUUACGCACAUGCAACUGACUUGCCUCACUUCUUUAUGCAUCUCAGAUUGUUCCUCCCAAAUAUUGUUUCCAAUGAGUGCUAUUCCCCCAUCACUACAAGACUUGUCGAUCGAGAGUUGUGGAGAAUUAGAAUUCGAAAUGGAUGGGCAACAUCACUCGCUGCAGAAACUAUCAAUACAGAACAGCUGUGAUUCACAUACAUCCUUCUCGUUAUUGGAUGCCUUUCCGAAUCUCGUGAGUGUUCGUAUCACCGGUUGCGAAAAGAUGGAGUCUCUUGUGGUGUCACGCUCUCUUUCUUGUCUCCUUUCUUUAUAUAUCUUCUUUUGUCGGAGUUUGAAAUCUGUGUCAACGCUAUGGAUGGCAGCACCUCAGCUACAGCAUCUCACAUUACUGGGUUGCACAGAGGUUGUUGAUUUGUCUCCUACAGGGGAUGGGGAUUCACACCAUAGCCUGAGAUCUCUUGAAAUCAGCUACAGCGAGGAACUGGUGAGCUCUGCAGCAUUCAUGAAUUCGCAAUUUCAUGGGCUUACUCAUCUUAACAUUGAUGGUCAAUACGGCGAGUGUGUGAAGUCCCUGCCAAAAGAAGGUUGGUUGCCUGCCUCCCUUGAGUCUCUCACACUGGAUCGCAUUGAAAGUGUGGAGACAUUGGAAUGCAAGGGACUUGCCCACCUCACCUCCCUCCAGAAACUAACUAUUCUGUAUUGUGACAAGUUGGAUUAUAUCGAGGGAGAUAAGCUGCCUGCCUCUUUAAUACAACUCAGCAUCUAUGGCAGCCCUUUGCUGGUCAAACAAUGUCAGAAGAAGGAUCCACAGCUUUGGCCCAAAAUCUCCCACAUCCCCGCCAUUCAAGUUGAUGGCAGAUGGAUUUGAUUAUCCAUCCACCCAACAAUUUCAAUCAUUGCAAUACACAGGGCUGAUUUCUGAGAAAUAAGACAGUAACAAAAGCAACUGAGCAACAAGGGAGACCCAUAAUCAUGGCCACAAUUGAGCAACGUGACCAUUGCAUUGGAAAAUUUAAUUCCUUAGCUUCUUUAUUUUCUUUUGGAACCUUUUGAAGAUUGAGACUUUUGGUUUGGUUUCUACUUUCUACAAACCUCAUGGUCAUGCUCCUUUUGCAGACAUAUAUUUACUUUUUGGGAUUUUUGAAAUUUUCUUUAGAUGUAUCAUGUCAGUUAUAUUGGUGACUUACCUUGGCGUUUAUGUAUUGGAGGAGUGUGAUUAAUUGUGUUGCACCAUUGAGCCUUUCUGAUCUAUGAUUUUUGCCCCCCUUUUUCUCUGUUUUAUUGUGUAUUGGUGACAAAGAAUUGCCUCUAAUUAGUAACAUUGUUUUUCCA